rnacentral:lncRNA from 1 species
CCCCCCUCCCGCCCCCGCCAUCCCCCCAUCAACCUUGGCGUCGGCUGGAGCGACAGAUGGCCGCUGGUUGCCGGUGGAGGAGCCCUUGCCCCGCCUGCCUCGCACGAGCCCUCGACCAGCGCCCCAAGGAGGGAGGGAAGGGGCACCGAGGCCAGGGAAACCUUCCGCGGAUGGCAGUCCCUAAGUCUUCUUCGCCCUGGCACAUUCAGGGCCGUCCCCGUGGCAGGCGCAGCGUCAUUACCUUCUGGCAACACCCUAGUCUGUGUGUGUGUGAUCGAAGAUUUGCUGACGCUUUUUAGGAUAACCAUAAUGAUCGAGCUGUAUAUUAGAACGAGAGAGAAAGAAGACUUGUUCCAGGAACAGCUAUUGCAGAAGUGCCACGGGUGUUUCAGAGGACUUGGGCUCCUGAAAAGCAACAAAAAUAACGCAGAAUGACACGAUUCAGGCCCACAUUACACAAUUGUAGGCCAAUAAGCUGU